UACGGGAGGCAGCAGUGGGGAAUAUUGCACAAUGGGCGCAAGCCUGAUGCAGCGACGCCGCGUGAGGGAUGACGGCCUUCGGGUUGUAAACCUCUUUCGCCAGGGACGAAGCGCAAGUGACGGUACCUGGAUAAGAAGCACCGGCUAACUACGUGCCAGCAGCCGCGGUAAU
rnacentral:rRNA from 1 species